CCCGUGUGUCCUCAGGCAGGACAGGGAUCUGGGGUGAGCCUGGCUCCCUGGGAGCUCCCCAAAGCCCCAGAACUGCCUGAUGGGGGUCAGCCUGGACACCCAGCACCAGAGGCAUCUUCUGGCUCUUUGAUCCUGACAGGAGCUGCACAGGAUCCCAGCCCUGCUUUGGGAGGGGGACACCAGGCUCUGGACACAGGGUACAGGAGCCACCCCGAAGCAGAUGAAGGACAAACAGAGCACUGUCCUGGGCAUGGUGAUCCCAAACCACCAGUGUUUGAAGGGAAGGGAACCCUGCUGAGGACUGAAAUCCAUUUCUGUGCGGUUUUCCCCCUGUGCAAACCUUUCUCUGCUAUCAGGAGCUCCACUCUGCUUUGUUUGUGCCUCAGUUUCCCCAAGGACAAGGCAGCUUUUUGUGGCUGAUUAUCUUCCCUGCCCCAGUGCAGGAGCACUGCAGCCCU